CAAAAUGGUCUAUGUUCUUCAAGCAAGCAAGCAUAUGAUUAAUAUGAUGUGUUAUGUUUAUUUAACUUUGAAGAAAAUGGUAUUUUUUUUUCUUUAUGUCAACCAUAUUAAUUUUCAAGACCUUAAAAGUUAAAACAUGUUCUUAUAACCACUACUACAACCAAUAUUUUCAAAAUAACCCUUAUAUAAGCUACUCAACAUAUUUUAGAAUGAGUUUGUUCGUAUUAUCGUCGCAGCAGCGUACGCAUGUGUUUUUUCGUUUGAGCACUGCAUGUUACUUCAGCGAUAAAUACUAUAUUUUGCAGUUAUAAAUUUUGAACGUCGAUUUAAUCAAAAGCGUUUACUGCAACCGCCUACAACGAAAGUUUGUUGCGUGUUAGCUCAUGGUCGAGCAUACAUCAUAUAUAAAUGAUCUCAGAUUAUUACUUACCCCGCCAUAAUUUUAGCUUAGAACAAACCAUUUAAUUUAGUUUUAUCUCUUGGUUUUGAAUUCGUUCUAGAGGUGUUUGUUUGUCUUUGUAAUGUUGGUUGCUUA
rnacentral:lncRNA from 1 species